rnacentral:lncRNA from 1 species
GCCAAAGCCAUGAAUGAAAGGAGGGUGUGACUAAGUCUGAAAGGAUCACAGUGCCAACCAUUGUGAGGUAGGGGUGAAUCAACAGAAGCAGGCUACCGAAUUUCCAGGAGCAGUCACCAUGCACUUGUUGAGCAAAAGACAAGGAGUGUCCUCAAAAGCAAAUUCCAACACAGACAGUCUCUAGCAUAUGAGAAGCAAAGCUAUCUCCUCCUUAACCUCAGGCCUGGGUUUUGAUAUCAACGGCUCAACGAAGCUCUUCUGACCAUGCUAUCUCAGGCCAUUUAGUGCAAUUGUGCACCUCCAUUCCAAACCUGCAUGUUAUAAUAGGACACCUAAUGUGGGAGACCAAGUUUGAGAGAUGCAAAUGCUGGAUCAGGGUAUUCAUUUUUACAUUUAUAGAGGACCUGCCAUGUGUUUGGAAAUGGGCCAGGCUGGCAAAACAAAGACAAAUAAGGCACCGUGCUUGUCCCUGAAAGGUUAGCAGAGGAAUUGCAACGCAAAUGAUAUUACAGAGUUGUUUUGUUUUUUAAUUGUGGGAAAACAGAAGACAAAGCAACUGAACAGGAAAGAAGGAAGGUUAGGAUCACUUCUGGGAAAGCUUCCCUGGUGAUGAAGUCUCACUGGAAGAAGAUAUUCAUGCAAAUGUCAGGUACUAAGAUUUAUAAAACAGCCAGCAGCGGGGGAAAGACCCUCUCAUAUAUCCACUUCUAAAACCAUUUAAGAUAUAUCCUAGUGACACAAAU